rnacentral:rRNA from 1 species
AUGUCGCCGUUCUUCCGCUCCCCGCCUCAGCCGCUCCCGGCGCUCGCGGGUGCUGGGGAGUUCGCGCCCGUCAGGCCCACGAUCGGGUUCCCCGGGAUGCCGUCGCCGACGGUACUUGGUGUCAACCCUCACGCAUCCUGGCUACCGACGGCAGCUGCAGGUCCAGCCUAUCCUAACCAUGAUGUGGGCAUGAUUCCCGUAAGAACUUCUCAUGAUCUCCAUGUUAGACAACACAGCAUGAUCCCACAAAAUUUCGCAAGGCGCGCCCCUAGUUCCAGCAGCGAAAACGACGAGCCUUUCUCCUAUUGGAACAUGGGGAGGUUCCAGAGAAGCACCACGACUUCGUCGAUCUCUCAGGUUGCUGUUGAGCCUGGCAAUUUUGUGAAGAAGAGAAAUGCAGACUCCAACAGCUUGCUCCCUCUCAAGUUCAGAAAGCUGAGUGGGGCUGGAUAA